CCAAGGCGCCUAGUCCUGAUGGCUUCCCGGCGUUGUUUUACCAACGCCAUUGGGAUUUUUUACAGGCUGAUAUCUGCACAGCUGUUAGGGAUUUUCUACAAGAUAUGAUGAAGGCUUAUGACCGGGUCGAAUGGAAAUAUCUUCAGGGAGUUUUAAGUAAGAUGGGUUUUGCUGAUGGAUGGAUCCAAACUGUAAUGAAAUGUGUGACAAAGGUGCGAUAUGCCAUACGAGUUAAUGGUGAACUCUCAGAGCAUUUUAUUCCAACAAGGGGAUUGAGGCAAGGAGAUCCCAUCAGUCCAUACCUUUUUCUCUUAUGUGCGGAAGGCCUAUCUUGCUUAAUGAAAAAAAAGAAGCUGAAGGUAAAAUAAACGGUGUAAAAAAUGGGAGAACUGGACCAGCAAUAUCUCACCUCCUUUUUGCAGACGAUAGUAUUUUUUCAUUAGAGGUGAUAUGAAGGACCUUCAAGCUCUUAAUGAGGUGUUGCACUUGUACAGUGAAGGAACAGGCCAACGGAUUAAUUUUCAGAAAUCAUCACUUUUCUUUGGUGACAAAUGUCCGGAACAAGUUAAGGAUAGAGUUAAAUCAUAUAUCAAUGUCCGUAAUGUAGUUGUGCAAGCAAAUUAUUUGGGCAUGCCGUCUUGGGUGGGGAGAUCUCCUACAAGCACUUUCAAUUUCUUACCUGAACGUAUGUGGAGGAAAAUAAGAGGCUGGAAUGAUCGCCCCCUUUCAAGGGCUGGUAAGGAGGUUAUGUUUAAAUCAGUCAUUCAAGCAAUCCCAAUAUAUGUUAGGAGCUGUUUCCGCCUGCCAGCUGCAAUUUGUGAUAAGAUGAGGACAACAAUCUCGAAUCAUUGGUGGGGCAUUGAAGAGGGUAAGAAAAAGAUGCACUGGCGUUCAUGGGAAUGGCUGACCGCCCCUAAAGCCAUGGGUGGCAUGGGGUUUUGAGAUAUGCAAAUUUUUAAUCAAGCUAUGUUGGGCAAACAAGCUUGGAGAAUUCUAACUGUUCCUAAUUCGCUUUGUGCGAGAGUGCUCA